CUCCGAUGAAACCUGCGGCGGAGGAAACAUGGCGGAGGAGACAUGAAAUCAGCGGUGGAAAAAACAUGAAAUCCACGCGAUUUGUUGGGAUCUUGCUGGGACCAGGCCUUCAAUCUCGGCGAAGCUUGAUGAUUCAAGUAAUUGAUGCAAAUGGCUUGUGGGUAUUAGUGUAUUAGGCAUGCGUCAACAACAGCUCUUGAAAUUGCGCCAGACAUUGUCAUCAUGAACAAAAAAAAUUGUUUUGAUUCUUAAUUCGUGAAGAUCAAUAAACUUUGAUGUGGGUUCAUUCGUUUGAGAGAAAGCAAAAGGAGUUUUUGCAAUUGUGGUGCCUCACCUUUUGGUUAUUCACGUUUCACCCCAAGAUUAUUAAAAUAUGAAGAAUGGUUCUUUUGA